CGAACCGUUUUACAAAUACUCGCUAUCGUGCACAUCGGACUAAACCUGAAGUGAAUAUGUUUUUUGAAAAGAAUUCGAACACUUUCGGGUCGAUCGGUUUUGAUCGAACGCGGACCUUUAUUGGGCAUAAGAAAAUUGUUGUAUAAUACUGUAUUCUAAUGGUUCCGCGAUCCUUUCCAUAAAUUAUUGCACACCACGACUAAUGGGUUACGGCGAUCCGCGCGUUAAGUACGAACUCGUAAAUCUUUUGAUUAUGACUCAUUUGAGUGUGACCCAUCGUUUUUGUGCCGUGAAAAGAGCGAAGGUGGUCGAUAAUUACUCCUACGAUCAUUAUCGAAAUUCGAUUUUAAAACGAUCGUACCGUAUAUUAUUACAUUUGUCAUUACCCGAGCAGAAACGAAGUCUGUAUUAUGCCAAAACAUUAACAACGAACGCAAUAGUGCGCCUUUCACGGUUGUCCAAUAGUCGGCUGGCCGUUAAACACGGGCACUGUGUGCCACUAGUGAAAAACAGUACCGGUAGUCGAGUGCGGGCCUGAUUUUUGCGCAGCACCGGCACCGUACUGCGUAUCUAUUAUGUUGUUGAAAUC